CCUACGGGAGGCUGCAGUGAGGAAUAUUGGUCAAUGGACGAGAGUCUGAACCAGCCAAGUAGCGUGAAGGAUGACUGCCCUAUGGGUUGUAAACUUCUUUUAUAUGGGAAUAAAACGUUCCACGUGUGGGAUUUUGUAUGUACCAUAUGAAUAAGGAUCGGCUAACUCCGUUCCAGCAGCCGCGGUAAUACGGAGGAUCCGAGCGUUAUCCGGAUUUAUUGGGUUUAAAGGGAGCGUAGGUGGAUUGUUAAGUCAGUUGUGAAAGUUUGCGGCUCAACCGUAAAAUUGCAGUUGAAACUGGCAGUCUUGAGUACAGUAGAGGUGGGCGGAAUUCGUGGUGUAGCGGUGAAAUGCUUAGAUAUCACGAAGAACUCCGAUUGCGAAGGCAGUUCACUGGACUGCAACUGACACUGAGGCUCGAAAGUGUGGGUAUCAAACAGGAUUAGAUACCCUUGUAGUC
rnacentral:rRNA from 1 species